GCUCGCAUGGAGAGUCUGACGGAGCACGCCGCGUGAGCGAAGAAAGCCUUCGGGUCGUAAGCUCUGUUGUCAGGGAAGAACAAGUGCCGGAGUAACUGCCGGCACCUUGACGGUACCUGACCAGAAAGCCACGGCUAACUACGUGCCAGCAGCCGCGGUAAUA
rnacentral:rRNA from 1 species